rnacentral:rRNA from 1 species
UACGGGGGGGGCAAGCGUUGUUCGGAAUUACUGGGCGUAAAGGGCUCGUAGGCUGCCAACUAAGUCAGACGUGAAAUCCCUCGGCUUAACCGGGGAACUGCGUCUGAUACUGGAUGGCUUGAGGUUGGGAGAGGGAUGCGGAAUUCCAGGUGUAGCGGUGAAAUGCGUAGAUAUCUGGAGGAAUACCGGUGGCGAAGGCGGCAUCCUGGACCGGCAUUGACGCUGAGGCACGAAGGUCAGGGGGAGCAAAACGGG